rnacentral:rRNA from 1 species
AACCCUGAUGCAGCUAUACCGUGUGUGUGAAGAAGGCCUUAGGGUUGUAAAGCACUUUCAAUGGGGAAGAAUUUAAUAUUGCUAAUAUCGAUAUUAAUUGACGUUACCUAUAUAAGAAGCACCGGCUAACUCCGUGCCAGCAGCCGCGGUAAUACGGAGGGUGCAAGCGUUAAUCGGAAUUACUGGGCGUAAAGAGUACGUAGGUGGUUUGUUAAGUCAGACGUGAAAUCCCUGAGCUUAACUUAGGAACUGCAUUUGAAACUAAUAAACUAGAGUUUCGUAGAGGGGGGUAGAAUUCCGGGUGUAGCGGUGAAAUGCGUAGAGAUCUGGAGGAAUACCAGUGGCGAAGGCGACCCCCUGGACGGAAACUGACACUCAGGUACGAAAGCAUGGGGAGCAAACAGGAUUAGAUACCCUGGUAGUCCAUGCCGUAAACGAUGUCGAUUUGAA